GAUGAACGCUGGCGGCGUGCCUAAUACAUGCAAGUCGAGCGAACGGACGAGAAGCUUGCUUCUCUGAUGUUAGCGGCGGACGGGUGAGUAACACGUGGAUAACCUACCUAUAAGACUGGGAUAACUUCGGGAAACCGGAGCUAAUACCGGAUAAUAUUUUGAACCGCAUGGUUCAAAAGUGAAAGACGGUCUUGCUGUCACUUAUAGAUGGAUCCGCGCUGCAUUAGCUAGUUGGUAAGGUAACGGCUUGCCAAGGCAACGAUGCAUAGCCGACCUGAGAGGGUGAUCGGCCACACUGGAACUGAGACACGGUCCAGACUCCUACGGGAGGCAGCAGUAGGGAAUCUUCCGCAAUGGGCGAAAGCCUGACGGAGCAACGCCGCGUGAGUGAUGAAGGUCUUCGGAUCGUAAAACUCUGUUAUUAGGGAAGAACAUAUGUGUAAGUAACUGUGCACAUCUUGACGGUACCUAAUCAGAAAGCCACGGCUAACUACGUGCCAGCAGCCGCGGUAAUACGUAGGUGGCAAGCGUUAUCCGGAAUUAUUGGGCGUAAAGCGCGCGUAGGCGGUUUUUUAAGUCUGAUGUGAAAGCCCACGGCUCAACCGUGGAGGGUCAUUGGAAACUGGAAAACUUGAGUGCAGAAGAGGAAAGUGGAAUUCCAUGUGUAGCGGUGAAAUGCGCAGAGAUAUGGAGGAACACCAGUGGCGAAGGCGACUUUCUGGUCUGUAACUGACGCUGAUGUGCGAAAGCGUGGGGAUCAAACAGGAUUAGAUACCCUGGUAGUCCACGCCGUAAACGAUGAGUGCUAAGUGUUAGGGGGUUUCCGCCCCUUAGUGCUGCAGCUAACGCAUUAAGCACUCCGCCUGGGGAGUACGACCGCAAGGUUGAAACUCAAAGGAGUUGACGGGGACCCGCACAAGCGGUGGAGCAUGUGGUUUAAUUCGAAGCAACGCGAAGAACCUUACCAAAUCUUGACAUCCUUUGACAACUCUAGAGAUAGAGCCUUCCCCUUCGGGGGACAAAGUGACAGGUGGUGCAUGGUUGUCGUCAGCUCGUGUCGUGAGAUGUUGGGUUAAGUCCCGCAACGAGCGCAACCCUUAAGCUUAGUUGCCAUCAUUAAGUUGGGCACUCUAAGUUGACUGCCGGUGACAAACCGGAGGAAGGUGGGGAUGACGUCAAAUCAUCAUGCCCCUUAUGAUUUGGGCUACACACGUGCUACAAUGGACAAUACAAAGGGCAGCGAAACCGCGAGGUCAAGCAAAUCCCAUAAAGUUGUUCUCAGUUCGGAUUGUAGUCUGCAACUCGACUACAUGAAGCUGGAAUCGCUAGUAAUCGUAGAUCAGCAUGCUACGGUGAAUACGUUCCCGGGUCU
rnacentral:rRNA from 1 species